GCCGGGGCAGCGGUGGUGAGAGCCCCGACUCCCCGGACGCCGCCCGCCGUGCCAUGGGGUUCCCGGCCGCGGCGCUGCUCUGCGCGCUGUGCUGCGGCCUCCUGGCCCCGGCUGCCCGCGCCGGCUACUCCGAGGAGCGCUGCAGCUGGAGGGGCAGGCCACGCCGCACCAGGACAUCAGCCGCCGCGUGGCCGCCUUCCGCUUUGAGCUGCGCGAGGACGGGCGCCCCGAGCUGCCCCCGCAGGCCCACGGUCUCGGCGUAGACGGUGCCUGCAGGCCCUGCAGCGACGCUGAGCUGCUCCUGGCCGCAUGCACCAGCGACUUCGUAAUUCACGGGAUCAUCCAUGGGGUCACCCAUGACGUGGAGCUGCAGGAGUCUGUCAUCACUGUGGUGGCCGCCCGUGUCCUCCGCCAGACACCGCCGCUGUUCCAGGCGGGGCGAUCCGGGGACCAGGGGCUGACCUCCAUUCGUACCCCACUGCGCUGUGGCGUCCACCCGGGCC
rnacentral:lncRNA from 1 species